rnacentral:rRNA from 1 species
UGGGGAAUUUUGGACAAUGGGCGAAAGCCUGAUCCAGCAAUGCCGCGUGUGUGAAGAAGGCCUUCGGGUUGUAAAGCACUUUUGUCCGGAAAGAAAUCCUUGGCUCUAAUACAGUCGGGGGAUGACGGUACCGGAAGAAUAAGCACCGGCUAACUACGUGCCAGCAGCCGCGGUAAUACGUAGGGUGCAAGCGUUAAUCGGAAUUACUGGGCGUAAAGCGUGCGCAGGCGGUUUGCUAAGACCGGUGUGAAAUCCCCGGGCUCAACCUGGGAACUGCAUUGGUGACUGGCAGGCUAGAGUAUGGCAGAGGGGGGUAGAAUUCCACGUGUAGCAGUGAAAUGCGUGGAGAUGUGGAGGAAUACCGAUGGCGAAGGCAGCCCCCUGGGCCAAUACUGACGCUCAUGCACGAAAGCGUGGGGAGCAAACAGGAUUAGAUACCCUGGUAGUCCACGCCCUAAACGAUGUCAACUAGUUGUUGGGGAUUCAUUUCCUUAGUAACGUAGCUAACGCGUGAAGUUGACCGCCUGGGGAGUACGGUCGCAAGAUU